rnacentral:sRNA from 1 species
AGCUGGCGGCGGGGGAGGCGGGCAGCGGAGCCCAGCAGACCCGGCGAGCGGAGCUGCGGCUGGAGAGCGGCGACCACUGCGGAUCUCGGAAAGAAGAAAUGAUGUAAAUCACUCACUAUCCAAACUUUAAGGUCAAAGGUGAGAAGGAAGGUCAGGAAGAACAUGGCCUGGCCACAUGUUUUUCAAAGAGUGUCUCUGCUGUCCCAGUUCAGCCAUCAUCACGUUGUAGUGUUCCUGCUCACUUUCUUCAGUUAUUCGUUGCUCCACGCUUCACGAAAAACAUUUAGCAAUGUCAAAGUCAGUAUCUCUGAGCAGUGGACCCCAAGUGCUUUUAACACGUCAGUUGAGCUGCCUGUGGAGAUCUGGAGCAGCAACCAUUUGUUCCCCAGUGCAGAGAAAGCGACUCUUUUCCUCGGAACACUGGAUACCAUUUUCCUCUUCUCCUAUGCUGUGGUGUUUGUCUUUGGCGCGCUCACAGAAUGGCUGCAUUUCUACAACAAAUGGCUGUACUGCUGCCUGUGGAUUGUGAACGGCCUGCUGCAGUCCACUGGUUGGCCCUGUGUGGUUGCUGUGAUGGGCAACUGGUUUGGGAAAGCCGGACGAGGAGUUGUUUUUGGUCUCUGGAGUGCCUGUGCUUCGGUGGGCAACAUUUUGGGAGCAUGCCUAGCUUCUUCUGUUCUUCAGUAUGGUUAUGAGUAUGCCUUUCUGGUGACGGCGUCUGUGCAGUUUGCUGGUGGGAUCGUUAUCUUCUUUGGACUCCUGGUGUCACCAGAAGAAAUUGGAAAACUCUGAGCUCCUUUUAGUGAGUAAAAGGAGAACAGUACUGCCGUUUGAGUCCUGUCGACAUUGUAGCCAGCCCCUGGCACAGCUGGACGUGUUUGAGAGGAGUGAUGCACGUCUUUUAUAGAUACAGGAAAAUAUUCGCAUUUGCAAAUGAUUUUUAUAAUUGAGACACUGGCAAGGAAUGAACAGGGAUGUAUUUCUAAUUUCACUUCUUGAAACAUUACUUUUCAUCCAUAAAAAUGAUGCACAAAAAUGAUACUUAACCUGUAGUUAAGUACAGAUUACAUACAAACGAAACCACAGAAACAAACAGAUGUACAAUUCUUCUAUCUUUUGAGUAUUUUUAGAUAGACUGUGUGACUUUAAUUGACCUUAGUUGACUUCAGUCUCUGGACCUUCGUUGCUGCUUCUGUAAAAUGGAAAUAAAAAUAACAUCACCCCAUAAGUA